rnacentral:rRNA from 1 species
UGCAGUCGAACGAGAUCCUUCGGGGUCUAGUGGCGCACGGGUGCGUAACGCGUGGGAAUCUGCCCUUAGGUUCGGAAUAACAGUUAGAAAUGACUGCUAAUACCGGAUGAUGACGUUAAGUCCAAAGAUUUAUCGCCUGAGGAUGAGCCCGCGUAGGAUUAGCUAGUUGGUGUGGUAAAGGCGCACCAAGGCGACGAUCCUUAGCUGGUCUGAGAGGAUGAUCAGCCACACUGGGACUGAGACACGGCCCAGACUCCUACGGGAGGCAGCAGUGGGGAAUAUUGGACAAUGGGCGCAAGCCUGAUCCAGCAAUGCCGCGUGAGUGAUGAAGGCCUUAGGGUUGUAAAGCUCUUUUACCCGGGAUGAUAAUGACAGUACCGGGAGAAUAAGCCCCGGCUAACUCCGUGCCAGCAGCCGCGGUAAUACGGAGGGGGCUAGCGUUGUUCGGAAUUACUGGGCGUAAAGCGCACGUAGGCGGCUUUGUAAGUUAGAGGUGAAAGCCUGGAGCUCAACUCCAGAACUGCCUUUAAGACUGCAUCGCUUGAAUCCAGGAGAGGUGAGUGGAAUUCCGAGUGUAGAGGUGAAAUUCGUAGAUAUUCGGAAGAACACCAGUGGCGAAGGCGGCUCACUG